rnacentral:rRNA from 1 species
AUACGGAGGGUGCAAGCGUUAAUCGGAAUUACUGGGCGUAAAGCGUACGUAGGCGGUUCGUUAAGUUAGAUGUGAAAGCCCCGGGCUUAACCUGGGAACUGCAUUUAAAACUGGCGAACUAGAGUUGAGUAGAGGGGAGUGGAAUUUCAGGUGUAGCGGUGAAAUGCGUAGAGAUCUGAAGGAACACCAGUGGCGAAGGCGACUCCCUGGACUCGAACUGACGCUGAGGUACGAAAGCGUGGGUAGCAAACAGGAUUAGAUACCCUAGUAGUCC